rnacentral:rRNA from 1 species
UUAAAACUUUCAACAACGGAUCUCUUGGUUCUGGCAUCGAUGAAGAACGCAGCGAAAUGCGAUAAGUAAUGUGAAUUGCAGAAUUCAGUGAAUCAUCGAAUCUUUGAACGCACAUUGCGCCCGCCAGUACUCUGGCGGGCAUGCCUGUUCGAGCGUCAUUUCAACCCUCAAGCCCUGCUUGGUGUUGGGGUCCUACGGCUGCCGUAGGCCCUGAAAGCUAGUGGCGGGCUCGCUAUAACUCCGAGCGUAGUAGUAAAAUAUCUCGCUAGGGAGGUGUCGCGGGUUCCGGCCGUGAAAGCCCAUCUUUUACACAAGGUUGACCUCGGAUCAGGUAGGAAUACCCGCUGAACUUAAGCAUAUCAAUAAGCGGAGGAAAAGAAACCAACAGGGAUUGCCCCAGUAACGGCGAGUGAAGCGGCAACAGCUCAAAUUUGAAAUCUGGCUUCGGCCCGAGUUGUAAUUUGUAGAGGAUGCUUUUGGUGAGGUGCCUUCUGAGUUCCCUGGAACGGGACGCCAGAGAGGGUGAGAGCCCCGUAUAGUUGGACACCGAGCCUCUGUAAAGCUCCUUCGACGAGUCGAGUAGUUUGGGAAUGCUGCUCAAAAUGGGAGGUAUAUCUCUUCUAAAGCUAAAUACUGGCCAGAGACCGAUAGCGCACAAGUAGAGUGAUCGAAAGAUGAAAAGCACUUUGAAAAGAGGGUUAAAUAGUACGUG